UCAGGGCUCAAACCCACGAACCAUGAGAUCAUGAUCUGGGCUGAAAUCAAGAGUCCAAUGCUCAACUGACUGAGCCACCCAGAUGCCCCUCCAGCUCACUUCUGGAAUCUAUUUCCAAAUACACUUCACAGGAAAUUACAUUGGCAUAAGACCCAAUACCAUCCUUGGGACAAUUUACCCAUGAUGAUUUUUAACAUGUCAAAGUGGAAAAUUGGACUCACAACCUUUGGAACGUCUCCAAGGAUACCCUCCCAUCUCCUUUCCCUGAGGAAGGCCACUGCCCAAACUCCUGCGGUAACAGCACAGAAGGGGAGCCAUCAAGACGUCAGACAGGUGUAUGCCAACUAGUAGAUAGAUCCGAGCAAGACGAUGACAUCUGAAGAUAACAAGUCCUUAAGGUGGAGAAGAUAUCACCAGCAUCAUCUUUCUGUCUUCAGAGCUGCAAUCACAAAUUCUGAUUCCAGGCAUCUAAGGCUGCCCUGGGCUGUAUGGACUGAUGCUGGCCACGAGGCUAGCUGAGAAACUAGAGGUGUAGAAAUGAAAUUUUCUCUUACGGAGGAAGGAAGAUCCUGUUACCACCUCAGAGCACGGGGUACAGUAAUUGACCCAGCAUGGACAUUCCCACUGUAAUCAGGGGGCUGUUGUCACAAGAAGCUAAGAGGUAUUCUAGGCAAAGAAUAGCUACCAUGGUUGGACGAGAUGCAAAUCCUGUUUUUCUCCCAUACAAAGAUGGCUGGAGCCAUGUCCAAGAACACCAUUAAUCCACUGGGCUUACCACCUACCGUAGGGUAUGCUCAUUGUCUGAGCAAUCAUGAGCCAAGUCUCCACAGUUAUAAAUAUCUGUAUGGAGAAGACGUGUCAUGUCAGGAGAUAUUCACUGAAGAACUGACCCCUUGAGGAAUCAGUCCCCAUUCAAAUGUCUUUCCCACUUAAUAUUGAUAUCUGUCCCGGAUAACUCUAGUUACAUCUCCACCAAUCUCUCACAAAUUGUAUCUGGAAAUGUAAUGCGAACCCAUGCAAAUUGUUUGUGCAGGAAUAUUGUAACAUUUUCAAAAGAUGUGGGAUUUUCACGAAGCUGGUGAAGUGAGGUCGGUGAAUGGCUGGUCCCAGUGAAGACCAGUGAACAACUAAGUAGAACACAAGAACACUGCUUGAGGAGAAGGAUGUGAAUAACAGAGGGUUAAGAGAAACCCUUGGGAAAAUUCACCCGAAGCUCUGGAAUGUUUUUGCAGACGUGCCUCUCUUAAAGAUCACUUUUUGAAAGUCAAAUGGGAAGUGAAGGAUGUGGUUGGUUGUUUGGGGAAAUACUGCCAAUGAAAACAAUCAAUAUUUA